rnacentral:rRNA from 1 species
GAUGAACGCUGGCGGCGUGCCUAAUACAUGCAAGUCGAGCGAAUGGAUGCGAAGCUUUCCUCGCUGAUGUUAGCGGCGGACGGGUGAGUAACGCGUGGAUAACCGACCUAUACGUCUGGGAUAACUUCGGGAAACCGGAGCUAACACCGGCUAAUAUUGUGAACCGCUUGGUUCCACAGUGAAUGACGGUCUUGCUGUCACUUGUAGAUGGAUCCGCGCUGCAUUAGCUAGUUGGUAAGGUAACGGCUUACCAAGGCAACGAUGCAUAGCCGACCUGAGAGGGUGAUCGGCCACACUGGAACUGAGACACGGUCCAGACUCCUACGGGAGGCAGCAGUAGGGAAUCUUCCGCAAUGGGCGAAAGCCUGACGGAGCAACGCCGCGUGAGUGAUGAAGGUCUUCGGAUCGUAAAACUCUGUUAUUAGGGAAGAACAAAUGUGUAAGUAACUGAGCACAUCUUGACGGUACCUAAUCAGAAAGCCACGGCUAACUACGUG